rnacentral:rRNA from 1 species
CACGGGGGGAGCAAGCGUUGUUCGGAAUCACUGGGCGUAAAGGGCGUGUAGGCGGUCAGGUAAGUCAGACGUGAAAUCCCUCGGCUUAACCGGGGAACUGCGUCUGAUACUGGAUGGCUUGAGUUUGGGAGAGGAAUGCGGAAUUCCAGGUGUAGCGGUGAAAUGCGUAGAUAUCUGGAGGAACACCGGUGGCGAAAGCGGCUUUCUAGUUUUUACCUGACGCUGAGGCGCGAGAGCAAGGGGAGCAAACAGG